GCCCUUACAGUUUGAUCCUGGCUCAUGAUGAACGCUGGCGGUAUGCUUUACACAUGCAAGUCGUACGAGAGUUUUUAACUCGAGUGGCGGACGGGUGAGUAACACGUAAGAAUUUGCCUUUAGGAGGGGGAUAACAACUGGAAACGGUUGCUAAUACCCCAUAUGCUUUCGAGUAAAAUGGAUUUUCCGCCUAAAGAGAAGCUUGCGGCUGAUUAGCUUGUUGGUGAGGUAAUGGCUCACCAAGGCGACGAUCAGUAUCUGGUUUGAGAGGACGAUCAGACACACUGGAACUGAGACACGGUCCAGACUCCUACGGGAGGCAGCAGUGGGGAAUUUUCCGCAAUGGGCGAAAGCCUGACGGAGCAAUACCGCGUGAGGGAUGACGGCCUAUGGGUUGUAAACCUCUUUUUUCAGGGAGGAAUCAAUGACGUGUACCUGAAUAAUAAGCAUCGGCUAACUCCGUGCCAGCAGCCGCGGUAAGACGGAGGAUGCAAGUGUUAUCCGGAAUCACUGGGCGUAAAGCGUCUGUAGGUGGUCAAAUAAGUCAACUGUUAAAUCUUGAUGCUCAACCUCCAAAUCUGAUUCGAAACUAUUCGACUAGAGUAUAGUAGGGGUAAAGGGAAUUUCCAGUGGAGCGGUGAAAUGCGUAGAGAUUGGAAAGAACACCGAUGGCGUAGGCACUUUACUGGGCUAUUACUAACACUGAGAGACGAAAGCUAGGGUAGUAAAUGGGAUUAGAUACCCCAGUAGUCCUAGCCGUAAACAAUGGAUACUAUAUGUUGAACAGAUCGACCUGUGCAGUAUCAAAGCUAACGCGUUAAGUAUCCCGCCUGGGAAGUAUGCUCGCAAGAGUGAAACUCAAAUGAAUCGACGGGGAAGGGC
rnacentral:rRNA from 1 species